rnacentral:lncRNA from 1 species
UCUGACAUGAUUGUGCCAUAUGGCUUUAUUUCAGGGGUGCUUCAACUACAUUUUUAAGGGGGAGCGGUGUGAUUAAUUGGAGUGAUUUAUAGAUCCUCUCAUUUCCUUCAAGGUGGAUGAUGACUAAGUUGUAAAAGCCACAAAUUUUGGUGUCCAGGUUCAUAAGGUUUUACAGUUAAUGGUCAACCAAAUGAGAAAUCUCUGCUGUGCAUUCAUGUGUGACUCCAGUGAGUGGGUGAUAACACCUAAAUUCUGUAUAGAGUACAAAUGUCCAAGCUGAAAAGGAAGUAUGUUUUAUAGGUCCUAUGUGCUUUUACCAUGCCACAUUUACCACACAUUAGUGAAGGCAAAUACAGGGAAAUGAGAGGUUUUGAAGAAACAAAUAGGUUGCGGCCCUUUUGCAAACACCAGUAACAGCUUGAAUAUUGUACCUGUGUAAAGAAUGAAACGGCAGGCUCCAGGUUAUGUUAAUGUCAUUUAUUUUAAUUUGCUCUUGAAUUUGGCUGAACGCAAUAUAUGAGAGACAGAAGGGAUGCAUGUUUUCUUCAUUUGCACCUUGGAUCUGGAAUAAUGUACAAUGUAUUCCUAAACAACCUUCUUCUCUAUGUUUUUAAGAAGUUGAAGUCAUGAAUUCAUGACAUAAACAGAACAUUUUGAAGUCAUGGACAAAACACUGCACACAACUGUCCAGAAAUGCAACAUUUAAUCCAGUAAUUCCGUUAUACCAAUGUUGUUUGAGAGAGAGAGAGAGAGAGAUGAAGAUUAAUCAUAAGUCAAAAAUUUAAGAAUAAGUAAAAACCUUCAGUUCUGUGGAUGUUAAAUCUUC